rnacentral:rRNA from 1 species
UAGCUAGUUGGUGAGGUAAUGGCUCACCAAGGCGACGAUCAGUAGCGGGUCUGAGAGGAUGACCCGCCACACUGGGACUGAGACACGGCCCAGACUCCUACGGGAGGCAGCAGUGGGGAAUUUUGGACAAUGGGGGCAACCCUGAUCCAGCCAUUCCGCGUGAGUGAAGAAGGCCUUCGGGUUGUAAAGCUCUUUCAGCAGGAACGAAACGGUGCGCUCUAACAUAGCGUGCUAAUGACGGUAUCUGCAGAAGAAGCACCGGCUAACUACGUGCCAGCAGCCGCGGUAAUACGUAGGGUGCGAGCGUUAAUCGGAAUUACUGGGCGUAAAGCGUGCGCAGGCGGAUUGUUAAGCAAGACGUGAAAUCCCCGGGCUUAACCUGGGAAUGGCGUUUUGAACUGGCAGUCUAGAGUGUGUCAGAGGGGGGUGGAAUUCCACGUGUAGCAGUGAAAUGCGUAGAGAUGUGGAGGAACACCGAUGGCGAAGGCAGCCCCCUGGGAUAACACUGACGCUCAUGUACGAAAGCGUGGGUAGCAAACAGGAUUAGAUACCCUGGUAGUCCACGCCCUAAACGAUGUCAACUGGUUGUUGGGGGAGUGAAAUCCCUUAGUAACGAAGCUAACGCGUGAAGUUGACCGCCUGGGGAGUACGGUCGCAAGAUUAAAACUCAAAGGAAUUGACGGGGACCCGCACAAGCGGUGGAUGAUGUGGAUUAAUUCGAUGCAACGCGAAAAACCUUACCUACCCUUGACAUGUCCAGAAUCCUGCAGAGAUGCGGGAGUGCCCGAAAGGGAAUUGGAACACAGGUGCUGCAUGGCUGUCGUCAGCUCGUGUCGUGAGAUGUUGGGUUAAGUCCCGCAACGAGCGCAACCCUUAUCAUUAGUUGCUACGCAAGGGCACUCUAAUGAGACUGCCGGUGACAAACCGGAGGAAGGUGGGGAUGACGUCAAGUCCUCAUGGCCCUUAUGGGUAGGGCUUCACACGUCAUACAAUGGUCGGUACAGAGGGUUGCCAAGCCGCGAGGUGGAGCCAAUCCCAGAAAGCCGAUCGUAGUCCGGAUUGUUCUCUGCAACUCGAGAGCAUGAAGUCGGAAUCGCUAGUAAUCGCGGAUCAGCAUGUCGCGGUGAAUACGUUCCCGGGUCUUGUACACACCGCCCGUCACACCAUGGGAGUGGAAUCUGCCAGAAGUAGGUAGCCUAACCGCAAGGGGGGCGCUUACCACGGUGGGUUUCAUGACUGGGGUGAAGUCGUAACAAGGUAGCCGUAGGGGAACCUGCGGCUG